AUACUUACCUGGCAAGGGAGAUACCAUGAUUACAAAGGUGUUUUCCCGAGGGCGAGGCUCACCCAUUGCACUCCGGGUGUGCUGACCCCUGCGAUUUCCCCAAAUGUGGGAAACUCGACUACAUAAUUUGUGGUAAUGGGGGACUGUGUUCGCGAUCUCCCCUU